UACGUAGGGUGCAAGCGUUGUCCGGAAUUAUUGGGCGUAAAGAGCUCGUAGGCGGUCAGUCGCGUCUGCUGUGAAAACUCGGGGCUUAACUCCGGGCCUGCAGUGGGUACGGGGCUGACUAGAGUGCGGUAGGGGGAGACUGGAAUUCCUGGUGUAGCGGUGAAAUGCGCAGAUAUCAGGAGGAACACCGGUGGCGAAGGCGGGUCUCUGGGCAGUAACUGACGCUGAGGAGCGAAAAGCGUGGGGUAGCAAACAGG
rnacentral:rRNA from 1 species